CAGACUUCAACAGACGAAAGAGGCCAACGGGAUCACACAGCAGAGAGCUGUUAUCUUUGAAUUCAGAGGCAAAAGUCUUGUCACUGCCUUCUGCACUGACUGAAUCUUCUGAAGUAUAUUGAGAUGUCAGCCCUAUCCAUAACCCAAUGCUGGAAUCACAGCAGGACGAUACCAGAACAAAGGUCAAUGGAGACUCAACCUACAGACUUUUCAACCUGCAGC